rnacentral:lncRNA from 1 species
UCUAUUUUCUAAAAUAAGUUUUCAAUCUUCUCUACCUAGCCUGUUUUCUCUUCAGGUCGAUGUCUCCCCUUUUUCCUAAAAAGCUUUCUAUUCUCCACCAUUUUUCGUGAAUACUCUGACCAAUCUAUAGUGUAUAAAAUUGUUGCUCCCUAUUCUGCUCUAAUUCUGGUCGUUACCAACUCCAGUUCAUUACCCCUCAAGCAACAAUCUUUGAAUUUCAAAUCUCAAGAUCCCUAAUUCCACACUGUGAAUGCUUUCUCUUUUAGCCAUUGUGGGAAGAAGUUUUUUCUUGCUAAAAAAUUACUUCAUAGCUAGUACUUUCUAAUCUUUAAUAUUGUUCUGUUUUGUUCACUUUGGGUCUCGCUUGGACUUUGAGUAUGGAUAUUCCCAAGUUUGAGCGUAGAUCCUUGGACUGAAAUGCUUCAUCUCACUGCUUCCCAAAAGGUUAGUGCAUUUUUUUAGUGUGUUUUCUCUCCACCGAUGUGUUAGCUCAAAAAUAUUAACAAGUCGCAAGCUAUGUUGAAUCCUGGAAAACAGAAAUUUUCAGAACAUAUUAUUGGUCUAAUAUAUGUAGACUUUCCUACGAAAUCCAUUUCCAGUUCAUAGCAACAAGUGUAAAAUUUAUUUAUUUAAUAUAAUGUUUAAACAAGACCUGUAUGGUUGUAUUCAUGUUUUAACUAGAUUAAUAAAUGUUAUUAGUAUGUUCACAUACUCAUUAUUGGCUGUGUAUUCCACUGGUAUAUGUGUAAGAAUAGGCUAGCUAGCAGAUGGAUUAGAACGUUUGUUAAUAUUUUACAAGAUAUGUCAUUUAGUUCAUUUCUAAAUCUUAAUAUAUUAGAGUUGUCUUUAUUUAAUUUAACAUGUUAUUUAAAAAAUUUAUUUGCUAUUUCCCAAAGUAUAUUGUUUGGUAAAAUAUAUGUUUAAGCCUUUUGUGUUCUUUGCUAUAUGACCGGUAGAAAAUACCCCAAUAGCUUCUAGUUUGAUUGCGUGAAUCUAAAAAUUUUCCUCCAUGCGCAUCUCAGAAUUUCAAUAUUUCUUGUGUAUGUUGUCGGUUGAAAUAUAUAACUAUCUUCACUACUAAUUUUUUACUUUUCUUUAUUUUACAUGUACUCUCGGGAGCUUAUUUGGUGUCUCAUGGCUUACUCUAUCUCUGUGCAAAUCAGGGAAGCAAACAAAUAUCGGAUUACAUAUUUUCGACUAGCAGUCUAGUGUCUCCUUCGUGUUUUUCAAGUUUUAUUCUUCUUCUGUAGACACUUAUUGUUAUUUUUAUUUAAUAUUUCGCACAUUAUUAUUUUGAAUUUGUGUUUUUGUACGUUUUUUAUUUGAAUCAGAGUAAAUAUUUAAUUAUGGUAGC